GUUUUCGGGUAAUCGCGGUCUGGCUUUGACCAGACUGAGGAAAGUCCAUGCUCGCACAGGCUGUGAUGCCUGUAGUGUUCGUGCUUAGCGAAAAAAUAAGCUAAGGUACUCUUUUUAGAGUAACGGCAGGAAAACAAGCUAAGGUUUCGGCUAUGCUUCAGUAUCCUUGAAAGUGCCACAGUGACGAAGCGAACGAGGAAACUUGUUCGGUGGAACGCGGUAAACCCCUCGAGCGAGCAACCCAAACAACGGUAGGGGCGCUUUUUGUCGGGGAAUCAGAACGAGACAAAAGGGCAGUUGAUCUGCAGAUAGAUGGUUACCGCUUUGUUUUUUCUCCCUGGAAAAACAAAGUACAGAACAUGGCUUAUAGAA
rfam:Enterococcus mundtii QT 25 DNA, complete genome.